GUUUGAAUGUGUAAAUCUAUCUUAUAUUUGUUUUGUUUAAUAUAAUUAGGCUACAUGAAAUUGAAAAGUAAUAAUACUACAAUACAAAGGUUUUUGUGAAUAGAAAAGGUUGUGGGGCAUUGCAGUAUUUAUUUAGAGAGGAGGGGGCCCUUGGAGAAAAUAGUCUGAGGACCACAGCGAGAAAGCUUACUAAACCUAAACUUUUACUAAAGCUCAUUCUCCUCUCGGGAGGAGGCGCGCUCAUUUUCCUCCGUGAGCGCGACGCUCAUCAGUUGUCAUGGUAACCCGUGGACAACAAGCGGCAUGGAGUCUAUGAUAGAGCGUGAAACAUUCAUUUGAACAAGUGUUCACCUUCAAUUUGCUUUCUAACCAAAAAAAAAAAGCGUUUCAGCAAGAUCCUAAGAUAUCAAAACUCUUCAUGAAAUGCAGACUUAGUGUUUAUACAUUUCUAGUCAAAUUGGUGACAGUCUGUGACGCAACCAGUAGUCUAUGAGAGGAUGAGAAUCCAAAACAAGGAUUGGUGGGACGUUUUCCUGCUCCACUACACUGACACUGAAAUGAGAGGUGUUAGACUGUCACUGUGGGUUCUUUGGGUAGUUUCCCGUGGAUUUCACUGAGAGAAGGUAAAAUGUUUUAAAAUGUAAAAUG
rnacentral:lncRNA from 1 species